UACAGAGGGUGCAAGCGUUGUUCGGAAUUACUGGGCGUAAAGCGAGUGUAGGCGGCUUAUUAAGUCAGAUGUGAAAUCCCUUGGCUCAACUGAGGAACUGCAUCUGAUACUGGUAAGCUUGAGUGUCGGAGGGGAUGGUAGAAUUCCUGGUGUAGAGGUGAAAUUCGUAGAUAUCAGGAGGAAUACCUGUGGCGAAGGCGACCAUCUGGAAGACAACUGACGCUGAGACUCGAAAGCCAGGGGAGCAAACGGG
rnacentral:rRNA from 1 species